rnacentral:lncRNA from 1 species
GUCGGCACCAGGACCCAGCAGCGCUCCCAGCCGGAACUCCUCCAGGGGCCAGCGCCCCAGCACCGCGCGCGUCACCUCCGCCUGCUCCAGCAGACCUAACUCAAGUGCUGUCCUGCUAACUACAUGGGACCUGCUGAAACCGAAAUGAACCGAGAUUCCAGUUCUGUGCAGAGAUGGCUGGACCUGCGUUGGGGACAUGCCUGGACCACCCAGCCCACUGGCCUUCACUGGUCUGAAAGGUUGUGAGGUACACUGGUCCUAGGAUGGCUCACCACGGCUCUGAGACAC